rnacentral:rRNA from 1 species
ACCCGCACAAGCGGUGGAUGAUGUGGAUUAAUUCGAUGCAACGCGAAAACCUUACCUACCCUUGACAUGUCCGGAAUCCCGAAGAGAUUUGGGAGUGCUCGCAAGAGAACCGGAACACAGGUGCUGCAUGGCUGUCGUCAGCUCGUGUCGUGAGAUGUUGGGUUAAGUCCCGCAACGAGCGCAACCCUUGUCAUUAGUUGCCAUCAUUUGGUUGGGCACUCUAAUGAGACUGCCGGUGACAAACCGGAGGAAGGUGGGGAUGACGUCAAGUCCUCAUGGCCCUUAUGGGUAGGGCUUCACACGUCAUACAAUGGUCGGUACAGAGGGUUGCCAACCCGCGAGGGGGAGCUAAUCCCACAAAGCCGAUCGUAGUCCGGAUCGCAGUCUGCAACUCGACUGCGUGAAGUCGGAAUCGCUAGUAAUCGUGGAUCAGCAUGUCGCGGUGAAUACGUUCCCGGGUCUU